UACGUAGGGUGCGAGCGUUGUCCGGAAUUAUUGGGCGUAAAGAGCUCGUAGGCGGUCUGUCGCGUCGGCUGUGAAAACCCGAGGCUCAACCUCGGGCCUGCAGUCGAUACGGGCAGACUAGAGUGCUGUAGGGGAGACUGGAAUUCCUGGUGUAGCGGUGAAAUGCGCAGAUAUCAGGAGGAACACCGGUGGCGAAGGCGGGUCUCUGGGCAACAACUGACGCUGGAGGAGCGAAAGCGUGGGGAGCGAACAGG
rnacentral:rRNA from 1 species